rnacentral:rRNA from 1 species
UAGUAACGGCGAGUGAAGAGGGAAAAGCUCAAAUUUUGAAUCUGGUGUCUUUGGCGCCCGAGUUGUAAUCUAGAGAAGUGUUUUCUGCCUCGGACCACACAUAAAUUCCCUGGAAUGGGGUGUCAUAGAGGGUGAGAAUCCCGUUUGUGGUGUGGACUACCUUGGCUCUGUGAUACACUCUCAACGAGUCGAGUUGUUUGGGAAUGCAGCUCAAAAUGGGUGGUAAAUUCCAUCUAAAGCUAAAUAUUGGCGAGAGACCGAUAGCGAACAAGUACCGUGAGGGAAAGAUGAAAAGCACUUUGGAAAGAGAGUGAAACAGUACGUGAAAUUGUUGAAAGGGAAGCGUUUGAAGUCAGUCACAUCGGUCGGAAUUCAGCCUGGCUUUGCCUGGUGUACUUUCUGGCAGAUGGGUCAGCGUCAAUUUUGACUGAGGGAAAAAGACUUGAGGAAUGUGGCUGUCUUCGGGCAGUGUUAUAGCCUCUUGUUGUAUGUCUCAGUUGGGAUUGAGGACUGCAGCACGCCUUAUGGCCGGGGUUCGCGCCCUCGGAACGUGCUUAGGA